rnacentral:tRNA from 1 species
GCCUUCGUAGUGUAACGGUAGCACACUCGGCGUGUAUUCGAGAGGUCCAGGUUCGAGUCCCAGCGAGGGCA